CUCUGUCUCUCAAAAACAAAUAAAGAUGUUUAAAAAAAAAUUUUUUUUAAAAAGAAAGAAAAACUGACGUAUAGGAGGGCAUGAAAAUGAUAUGCUGCAUUGAAUUCACCAGGAAUGGUAAACGUGCUUUGAGGAGUUUGUAGUUUAUGGUCCUAUUUCCUCUUCUCCAAACUUCUCGAGAGACAUUCUUAUCCGAUGAUGUGGUAGGAGGACAUUGGCAAGAUCACAAAAGGUUAUCUCAAGCUUAUCCCAGGAUGUAUGUUCCUGGCUGGUGCAGAUUCACAGAUUGUUUCUUUAAACACCCCCAGUUGGAAUGUUUGUGGCACUGGUGUUUAUCACACUAGCGGGUGGAGUAGGCCCUGGUAGAAGCUUCUGCUCACAUGGGUGGGGUGGCUGGAAGGGCAUCGACUCUUCAGGCCCCCGUCUUACCUGGAGCCACUUUACGUGGCCUGGAGUUGCCCCAGGCAGUAAGGCAGGAUACAAAUAGACACAGUUAAAAGUCAUAUGGAGGAAAGAGCCUCACAUUUUUCUUAGCGUUUUUCAUGGGACACAAGCCUGAGGAGAGCAGGCAGAGGGCAACUCAGACCCUGGGGUGAGGGAUGAAAGGGCCAGUGUCAGUAGGUGGAUCCAGGCUGACCAGGGAAAUGCUGGCCCACCGCGGGCAAGCUCAGAUUUGGAAGGAGCUCAGGGCAGCGAAGUGGGACUGCCCACCCAUCUCUCCAUUUCCAAUUUUUCUCUUUUAUUUCCAUCUCUCUUGCUUGUUAACCUUCAUAUUCUGUCUCCCAUGGGUCCUCCCCUGAUGCCCUCAAAAGAGAUGCCUUGAGCAGCAGUGACAGAAGAAUCCACUGGAGGGGAAGGGAGGGGACUGCUAUUUUAGAAAACUAACUAUAUAAAUAGAGAGUUGGGCUCUGAAAAGAAGUUCCUUAAAGACUGUGUGGGAUUUAAAAACCAAGCAACAAGCAUGAGAUAGACAGUACAGAUGAGCUAAAUGCAAACACAGUCCUUGCAUCAUGAAUUCUCUUCUUGCUUCUCCGUCCUGUUCUCUCCAAGCCUCUGCCUUAGAAGAGAAGGAGGAGUGAGAGGAACCUAGGAAUACAGCACAGCCAGGGAAACAGAAAAAAGGGAGCCAGAUGCACAGAAAGGCAGAAGAGGAGUAAAGUAACUAGGACAGGGCCACCCUCGGGUCCACCACAUAGCUAGUGAACCAGUGUAUUGACUUAAAUAGGGCUGCAGGGCUUAACUCCCAGUACCCAGCCUCACUUCCUGCCCUUAGAAAGGAUUUGGAGCUCCAAUGUAUAUUUCACUGUCAGGACGAUGAAACCGCGGCAGUAAAUGCACUGGCUGGGUAUGUAGCCCCACAUCCAGGCCAGUCCUGCCUCACAUCCGUGGGGCUCUGAUGAAGCCCCGUCAUUCUGGGGGCCAAGUAGCAAACUUGUUAAUCUAUCUGCUUCUCUGCAAGUUGCUGACAAACGGCCUGGGGUUUGGCAGGCUGCAGGAUAACCAGAGCAAGCCUGCCUACCGGAAUCAGGAGCAAGAACUCAGUAAAAAACGAAAGAAGGCUCAUUCCUUGCUAAGCAAUAGAUUUGGAGCUCUCUGGUUGUUCUCAGGACGGAAAGUGCUUUUUGGAUUUCUGAAGAGGGAAGAUGCUGGGGGAAGAGCCCAGCAUGUGAUGAGUGCAUGGAAGAUGCCCGUGAGCUCUCGGCGCUCCAGGAUGGCUGACCCCGAAGAGCUGGAGUGCACUGACCUGCUGCCGCUGGGGCUGGAGGAAGCAGCUGUCAGUGACCCACUCUCGUGCCUGGGAUAGGGAUUAGAGGGUCAAGCAGGACAGCAGAGUGCUGAAGCUGUUCCGCCAGCUUUCCAGAGUGACUGUGUGCAUCUCUUCCAAGCUCAGAUUCAGAAACAUCCUCGCCAUGGUAGCUUGAAAGUUCGUGGUGAGAGUGUUUACACCACAGGAAUCAGCAGGCGCUCCAAAUGAGGACUGUCCCACCACCAAGGGCCAUCCGGUGAACAUUUACCAGCAUGCCCCUGGGCAGGAGGCACGUGUGAUCAGAUAUUUUUUGAUGAUACAUAAUUACAGAUUUUUAAUGCUCUGAAAGCCUGGUCUUGUUUUCCAUGAGGGCAUAUGUUUAUGUGUGUAUCCCCUCAACCCGAUUCCUAAGAAUUCAGCAUCCUUUAGCUAGGAAGUAAAAUGAGAGCACAUUUCCAUUUUCAAGGUUUGUUUAAGAAUUUUGCAACAAGUAUAAGGAGAUCAUGUCUGCUCAGCUAAGCAAUUUGGUGUCUGUUGAUAGCCAAACAGCCUGGAAAAUUAUCUUUGCCUCAGCUCACCCACUGUGCAAGGGAAUGAUGCUGACAAGCCGGCUGCUUCCAAAGGCCUAUUGUGUGGUGCUCGGCAGCACGGUGGUGAGGGAGAGGCGGGCCUAUGAUUUAGCCAUCUUUUGCUCUGUCUACUUUGCUUAAUAAGAACACUGCCAGACAGUCUCUGCGUGGCUUUUCUGUCACCACUGGGGCCAUUUCUUCUCUUCCAUCCCUCAGGGGAUAUGGAGUAUAGACAGGCACCAGUAAGAUUGGAAAGAACUUCCAACAAACCACAUGGAAAUUUCUAGAAACGUGUGGAUGUCUGAAACCUCCUAAGCAUGAAAUGCCAAGAUUUCUUUUACUUUUCAGUUGUGUCUCUUAAAACAUGGAGGCACGUGGCUUUUGUGACCGUGUGUCUUGGAAAAGAGGAGAAGGUAGAUAGGGAGGAAUCCAAGUCCUUAAUGUUCUAAAAUGGAAGGAUGCUCACACUCAAUCUCUAUGAUCUUAUAAAUGAAGAAACUGGGGACGCGGAAGGUGCGUGACUUCCUGGAGGUCAGCACGCAGAACGGGACCCCAAAUUCCCAGUCAGCGCAGAGCAACAACAUCUGCCACCACAGCCGCUCCUCUCCGCUCUGUCACUAUGUGCGGACCACUGGCUGUGACAGGGGCCACGCUGAACAUUCUGCAUGCUUUUUACCUCAUCUAACACGCACUCAACAUCUCCUGGGCACAGGCGUGACCGAGCACUCAGAGGAUGGAGAGAAUAGGCAGCAGCAGCAGCUUACAGUCUCAUCCUGCAGAUAAGAACUCUCCCAAUUAAAAGGGUGCACGAAGCACUUCGGGUUGAAAGGCAGGAGAAAGCAUACUCGGCUAAGGCAUUUGUCCAUCCCUAAGAUUCCUUUCCUGGGAAACAUUAGCUAAAGGAAGAAAAUAAAUCUUUAGAGGUAAACA